UUGGCCUGGAUGGCAGCACGAGGCUGGGCCGGGCCAGGCAGCCUGGGCAGGUGGGGAGGUCCCUGUGCCCCCAUUGGUCUGAGGAGGGCUCCAUGCCCUUUCUGAGCAGGGGCCCAGCCUGGGGGAGGCCAUUUAUACCCCUCCCCCUGGGCCCACCAGCCCAACUCGCCGCUGCCGGCCUGACCCCGCUUCCCAGCGCUGCUGCCCAGACGUGAGGCUCUAAGGCCAGGACUUCAAGAUGGGCGAUAAGGAGGUGAGUACCUGCUUGGGGGUGAAACACGGAGGGGGUGGGACCCCCAACUCAGGAGAGGUCAGAGGUCGGAGUUCCAAGGCCCAGGGAGGCCGCCCAGCCCUCCCCCCUCUGUGAAAAUGCCUCAC